GAUGAACGCUGGCGGCGUGCUUAACACAUGCAAGUCGAACGGAAAGGCUCCUGCUUGCAGGGGUACUCGAGUGGCGAACGGGUGAGUAACACGUGGGUGAUCUGCCCUGCACUUCGGGAUAAGCCUGGGAAACUGGGUCUAAUACCGGAUAGGACCACAUUUUGGAUGGUGUGGUGGAAAGUUUUUCGGUGUGGGAUGAGCUCGCGGCCUAUCAGCUUGUUGGUGGGGUAAUGGCCUACCAAGGCGUCGACGGGUAGCCGGCCUGAGAGGGUGUACGGCCACAUUGGGACUGAGAUACGGCCCAGACUCCUACGGGAGGCAGCAGUGGGGAAUAUUGCACAAUGGGCGCAAGCCUGCUGCAGCGACGCCGCGUGGGGGAUGACGGCCUUCGGGUUGUAAACUCCUUUCGCUAGGGACGAAGCGUUUUUGUGACGGUACCUGGAGAAGAAGCACCGGCUAACUACGUG
rnacentral:rRNA from 1 species